AAUUUUAAUCGGACUUAGUUUUGUCAAUUGGAAUCUCAUGCUAAUUUGUAUGAUUACUCUUAUUUAGCAGAGAAUUGUUUCACUAACAAGGAUUGAAAGAAAUAGGGCCAAAGGGAGAUCCUCUAUUAUGAGCUUUAUACAGCUAAAAUGAGUAUAUUUUGCUUAAAUCUUGCAUUUCAGUUUGCAUAAAUUGGUAAUUUUCAGACUGGGUUACUCUUCAUCCCUGUUUUGCUUUUGCAGCAUGGCACCACUAAUUCCUCAUACACUUUCAGGUAUGACACAUUAGCAUCUCUGCCGGUUAAGAAAGAAAUCUCUGCACUGGUGGAGGAAGCGAGUAAGAUGACAUCAAUUGGCCAUCCCGCAAGGAUAUAGUUAGGGUUCCAGGAUUGUGUGGAAGUAUCACGUUACCAGUAUAUUUUCAGCAGGGCCGAUUGUCUGAAGAAACCUGAAGAAAGUUGUGCAGUUUGGCCUAGUCCCCGGCGUGUUGGCGGCGUGGAUUCUGUGUCGUGGACGGCGUCCUUGAUUCCCUUGCGUGG